rnacentral:lncRNA from 1 species
GAAACAUACAAACCUAUAGGCAGAAUAUCUAUCAUUUGCAUAUAGUUAUCCUCUCCCUUUUCACUAGCAAGCCCCAAUAGUUUAUUAUAAUUUAUUACAGCCCAAAAUAAAAAAUAGAAAAGAAAAUUACAUCAGAAAUUAAAAGUACAACCAAGGGGAGCCUAAUUCAGGCUCCUUGCCUGAAAUAUGAGAUAAACCAACUCCAAGAGAUCAUGAUCCAAAGCCUUUCUCUCAUUUGGAUGUGUCAGAGUUCCCUAAGAGCCUCAUAUGGACUUCGAGUACAGCUCACACCCAAAUGCAUCAUAGGAUUAAGACAUCGUGCAGUGUGGAAGGGCCCGCCUUCAAGUGUCCAAGUUCACAGGGAACUCAAGAUCCCAAGGCAAUACUCAUAGGAGGGGCCAGAACUUAAAAACUAGGAGAGAGUGCAAGUGUAGAAGGGAAUUCUGAAAGGGGAAGGGAAAAGGAAGUAACUUAAAAUCAGUGCAUAUAAGGGUAUAGGGGAGAGGGAAAUUUCCAAGAACACAAGAAGAGAAUGCUGAUGGUCAUACCUAACAAUGGGAUAUGCUGCACACCCUCCAGCCUGUUUAGAGGUUAAGACUCCAUUGGUUCAAAACUCAGUUCAUGGACAACAACUCAUAUUGUCAUACCUUAAGUCAUCACUCACAAACACAUGGGGGUAAUAGGAUAGGGAGCAAAGAUUCACAAAAGAAGCAGGCAGUCGAACGUAGGCAUACUAAGCUAAAUGUCAAACUCAAUAGAAAAUAAUAAAGUAGACAUGGAUACAAAAAAUGUAAGUAAGCAGAUUGGAGUAAUGCUGGAACUUUAAGUUAGGACAUACCGGUUUCAAAUAAAUAAGUAGAAAAAAUAGUAGCCUUGUAAAAGCCAAAUUGCAAAUAGGAAGACAGAGUACUAUAAGUGUGAGUUCAGAAGAGAUUGUGAAAUUGUGAAGUGUCAAGUGUGUGUUCGUGAAAAGGGUCGUGGCUUUUAUAGUGCAGAAGGCAGGCAGAAAUAAGGUAAGAAAUAAUUAAAGAACUAAUUGUCAAUCAAUUAUACAAGACUUCCCUUAAUUAAGGGAUUCAGAUUCAAAUGGGUAUAAACAAUAUAAGAAAAGAAAUUAAUCAAACACUUUGUGUAGAGUACGCAAUUAAGGGAAGAUAUAUAAAAGUUAUUUAAGGACAAGGUUUUUGAAAUACAUUAUUGUGGAAAUAAGGUAAGAAAAUUAAUUAACAGCCAGUAAAUCACAUGGUUUGAGAUUUGGUAUGAAUGAACAAAGUCAGGAAAGAUGAAGAGGGGUUUUACUUAAAGGAAAUCAGCAAACAAUCAAUUAGACAUAUUCAAAAGGAACUAUGAAUUAAUCACAGGUUGAAAGACCUUUUUAGAGAAAGAUUCAUCCUAUAUAAAGAGCAUACAAAUAAGUUAAACAUGAAAGAAAAUUGUCAUGACAUUGUAUAACCAGUAGAAAAUCCAGAGUAUGAGAGUUCAUCAUUGUAUGAAAACAAAUAGUCCAAACUCAGUUCAGAGAGUCAAAGUCGGUCUGAAAGAGUUAAGGGUAAAACCCUAAUUCGAGCAAUCAAGAAAGUAAAGAGAAGAGAGAAAGCGAAUUGAAUCGAUACAUGUGUAGAGGUUUCAGAAGAGAACUGAAGCUCCUAACAUACUUCUUUCAGAAAUCAUGAUGCAAACACAACAGAGAGAUUUAAAGAACAUAAUGGGAAAUAGUAGAAGAAACAUGCUUUUUAGAAUAAACUUAACCAAGGUUCAGUUGAGAAAAAAUAGUAAAAAGACAUAAGAACGCAGUAGGAAAAUAUAGCAGAAGAACAUGCUUUUUGGAAGAAAUUUAAC